rnacentral:lncRNA from 1 species
AGCGCGCGGCCCGCGGCCUGAGCCGGUCCUGAGGCGCCGGCGGGCCGCGCCGGGUCUGUGGGUGCAGUGUCUGUGGGCGCCUCGCCCGGCCGGGCCCAUGUGCGCGCGGCCUGCCGCGGGCCGCCCGGGCUUCGCCUCCGCCCGGUCCCUGGCCUCCACCCGGGCCUCCGAGGAGCCGCCGCGACGCCCGGCCCGCGGGGCAGGUGAAGAGAUUCUACAUCUACUGAAUGAAAAAUUUUUUCUUAAAGUUGCAUAUACUCCAAGAAAAAGUCCCAAAUGUUUUUAUAUUUUGCCUAAAUAUAAAAUUUAAACGAGGAGUUUCCACAGAAGCUCUGUGGCCAGCACCAUGUUCUGGAAGUUUGACCUGAGCGCCACGUCGCAUGUUGACAAGCUGCUGGAUAAGGAGGGCGUGACGCUGCGGGAGCUGAUGGAUGGAGAAGACAUCCUGCAGGAGUGCAAGGCCCAGAACCGGAAGCUGCUGGACUUCUUGUGCCGGCGGCAGAGCAUGGAGGAGCUGGUGGGCCUCGUGACUCAGGACCCAGCCCUGGACCUGGAGGAGAGGGCCCGCUUCAAAUACCCGAACACAGCCUGCGAGCUGCUGACAUGCGACGUGCCACAAAUCAACGACAGGCUGGGAGGUGAUGAGACUUUGCUGAACGUCCUUUACAACUUCCUGGACCGUGAGCCGCCCCUCAACCCUCUGCUCGCCAGUUUCUUCAGCAAGACCAUUGGUAAUCUCAUUGCAAGAAAAACUGAACAGGUGGUUGCGUUCCUGAGGAAGAAGGACAAGUUCAUCAGCCUGGUGUUGAAGCACAUCGGCACGUCAGCCCUCAUGGACCUGCUGCUGCGCCUGGUCAGCUGCGUGGAGCCUGCGGGGCUCCGGCAGGAAGUCCUGCACUGGCUUAAUGAAGAGAAGACCAUUCAGAGACUCGUGGAGCUGAUCCAUCCGAGUCAGGAUGAAGAUAGGCAGUCCAACGCUUCCCAGACGCUCUGUGACAUCGUCCGGCUGGGCAGGGAGCAGGGCAGCCAGCUGCUGGAGGCUCCGCAGCCAGACCCCCUGCUCAUGGUGCUGGAGUCGCAGGAGUGCGUGGAGCAGCUGCUGAGGAACAUGUUUGAUGGAGUGCAGACUGAGCUCUGCCUCGUCAGCGGGACGCAGGUUUUACUUACCUUGCUGGAGCCCAGGCGGGCGGGGUCAGAGGGCUUGCUGGACUCCUGCUCUCAGGGACUGGACAGGUCGUGCACCAUCAGCCCCGGUGUCCUGCAUGGCAUCGAGCCGCGGCUGAAGGACUUCCACCAGCUUCUGCUCAGCCCGCCCAAGAAAGCAGCCAUCCUGACCUCUGUCGGCGUGCUGGAGGAGCCCCUGGGCAACGCGCGCCUGCACAGCGCCCGCCUCGUGGCUGCCCUGCUGCACACAGGCACACCCAGCAUCAACCAGGAGCUCUGCCGGCUCGACACCAUGGGGCUGCUGCUGGACCUGUUUUUUAAGUACACUUGGAAUAAUUUCCUGCACCUCCAAGUGGAGCUCUGCAUAGCCGCCAUCCUGUCCCACGCUGCCCAGGAGGACAGGGCCGCAGCCAGUGGACCCGAGGGGGCACUGGAGCCUCCACCCUCCAGCGGGGACCCAGCAACCCCCCAGCCUGCCAGCAGCCUCCCCGAGAGCACCAUGGUGACCCACCUGUUCCAGAAGUGUUGCCUGGUCCAGAGGAUCCUGGAGGCAUGGGAAGCCAACGACCACACUCAGGCGGCGGGCGGCAUGAGGCGCGGGAACAUGGGCCACCUCACCCGGAUUGCCAACGCGGUGGUGCAGAGCCUGGAGGGGGGCCCCCUGCAGAGCCAGGUCAGCGAGGCCUUCCGAGGGCUCCCGGCGGACUGCCGCGGGCGCUGGGAGAGCUUCGUGGAGGAGACGCUGUCGGAGGCCAACCGCAGGAACGCGGUGGACCUGGUGGGCACACAGCACCUUCACCCCUCGAGUGAGGACGAGGACAUGGAGGGCGUCCUCCCCAGCGGGCUGUCGCUGCAGCAGGCGUUCUCCGAGUACCAGGUCCAGCAGAUGACAGCCACCUUCGUGGACCAGUUUGGCUUCAGCGACGAGGAGUUUGCUGAGCAGGACGACAGUGUCAACGCCCCAUUCGACAGGAUCGCAGAGAUCAGCUUCAGCGUCGAUGCCGAUGACGAUAGCCCUGGCGCCGCGCUGUUUGAGGCCUGCUGCAGCGACCACAUCCAGCCCUUCGACGAGGACGACGAUCUCUGGGAGGCAGAGGAGACGCACCGUGCGGCCCGCGUGACCAGAGCCAGGUUCGGGGCCCCCCACGCAUCAGAGCGCUGCCUGAAGGACGGCCCAGAGCGCCGAGGCCAGGGUACAGGCGAGGGUGUGGACGCAGCUCAGGCAGGCUCGCCGUGCGAGGGCGGCUCAGAAGCAGGCUCCCCAUGGGCCAUGCCUGAUGGGCCAGUGACUCCCAUGGCUGCCAGCCCGGCCCCAGCAGUGGCGCUGGACGUGGGUUCCAGUGUGUGGGCAGCCAGCUCCCCCAGCACCUCUGCUCCAGAGGAGAAAGGCUGGGCCAAGUUCGCUGACUUCCAGCCUUUCUGUUGCUCUGAGUCGGGGCCGAGGUGCAGCUCCCCGGUGGACACGGGCCACGGUGAUGCCCAGGCUGGCCUGAACCAGGGCCCAGAGAGAGCCCUUGGUGCCUGGAGCACAGGUGUCCCCAGGAAGGCACCCCUGGUGGCCGCCAGCAGCCGCGAGGAUGAGCAGAAGGCGGCUGCUGCCUCGGAGGCUGUCGGUGUGGGUCCCAGCCAGAAGGCCUCCCCGCUGUCCGUGUUGGGCCCCAGGGCUGACUGUGCCCCCAGCUCACCGCCCGGCCCGGUGCCCCUGGACCCUGCCGAGGCGCCCACUGCCUCCGCUGAGGCCACCAUGACGGGCCCUGCGCCCCAGGCCGUCUCCCCUGUGCUGGCCGUGGCUGUCCCCCCCGGGCCUAUGGUGGCCGUCACCACCGCAGCCCCCGCCAGCCCAGCCGUGUCCAUGGCAGCCGCCUUGGGGACAGUGCCAAGAGACAGACAGGCUGGCGGGCCACCACCCUCCGGAGCCGCCCUCAGUGGCCCCGUGUGACGCCGCUGCUGCGCAGUCUUGGCACCCAGCCCAGAAAAGCACCUGGUGAUGCAGUCUCUUUUUAAUUUAAUUUAAUUUAAUUUUAAAAUAAAUGCUGCAUUGGUAAAGCUGGCACUUGGAACUAG